AAAAUGUAGAGACAGUGCAGUAACAUCCGAAAGUACAUAACUCAUGUACAAUUAAAGGCAUCCGUGUUAUGGUUGAAUUUGGCGCAAUGGACGAGAUUCGGUAAGGGCUCACUUAGCUAAAUCCACUUGUUGCGAUUGUCGAUGUUAGCUGUAAGCUAAAAACAACUAGGGUCUAGUUACAAAUACCUCCUUUUAUACGUAGUGCACUACGUAGGGUGUCAGAUGGUGGUAUUUGACACCAGUUUUAUGUGGGAGCCAUUUGGAUUCGAUUCUUCGGAAGAAGUUUUUGGGUACUCGGGUAAAAUUGAUAAUUAAGUAAUAAAUAACCGAUUAUCAUCAUAGCAUUUAAAAAAAAUAUUUUUAAAUAGUGGUCUAGCUAGUGGACAUCAGUUAUGAUGAGUGGUGAAACAUGUGGGGUAAUCAGGAUGCAGAGCGUGAGUCCAUUGCUGCCUCAGCGCCAGGAGAGUGUAGAGGGUCGCUCACCAAACCUGAGGCCGAGGCACGGGGAGCUGAUACCCACACCAUUUGGACCAAUAAAGCGGUUGUCAGAGCUCCAGUGCUUCGUUAAGGCUUACUUCUGCCUCACAAUCAUCUCCCUGGUGGUGCUCUUCAUUCUCACUAUAGUCAACAUCACGGAAGAGAGCAGGAAAGCGGACGACGAUGAUG
ensembl:lncRNA